rnacentral:rRNA from 1 species
AGUGAACGCUGGCGGUAGGCCUAACACAUGCAAGUCGAACGGCAGCACAGUAAGAGCUUGCUCUUACGGGUGGCGAGUGGCGGACGGGUGAGGAAUACAUCGGAAUCUACUUUUUCGUGGGGGAUAACGUAGGGAAACUUACGCUAAUACCGCAUACGACCUACGGGUGAAAGCAGGGGAUCUUCGGACCUUGCGCGAUUGAAUGAGCCGAUGUCGGAUUAGCUAGUUGGCGGGGUAAAGGCCCACCAAGGCGACGAUCCGUAGCUGGUCUGAGAGGAAGAGCAGCCACACUGGAACUGAGACACGGUCCAGACUCCUACGGGAGGCAGCAGUGGGGAAUAUUGGACAAUGGGCGCAAGCCUGAUCCAGCCAUACCGCGUGGGUGAAGAAGGCCUUCGGGUUGUAAAGCCCUUUUGUUGGGAAAGAAAAGCAGCAGGUUAAUACCCCGCUGUUCUGACGGUACCCAAAGAAUAAGCACCGGCUAACUUCGU